rnacentral:rRNA from 1 species
CACGUAGGGCGCAAGCGUUGUCCGGAAUUAUUGGGCGUAAAGAGCUCGUAGGCGGUCUGUUGCGUCCGCUGUGAAAACUCGGGGCUUAACCCCGAGCCUGCAGUGGAUACGGGCAGACUAGAGGUAGGUAAGGGAGAAUGGAAUUCCCGGUGUAGCGGUGAAAUGCGCAGAUAUCGGGAGGAACACCGGUGGCGAAGGCGGUUCUCUGGGCCUUACCUGACGCUGAGGAGCGAAGGCCAGGGGAGCAAACGGG